UACAGAGGUCUCAAGCGUUGUUCGGAUUCAUUGGGCGUAAAGGGUGUGUAGGUGGCGCCGUAAGUCGGGUGUGAAAUCUUGGAGCUUAACUCCGAAACUGCAUUCGAUACUGCCGUGCUUGAGGACUGGAGAGGAGACUGGAAUUUACGGUGUAGCGGUGAAAUGCGUAGAUAUCGAUAAGGAAGACCAGUGGCGAAGGCGGGUCUCUGGACAGUUCCUGACGCUGAGGCACGAAGGCCAGGGGAGCAAACGGG
rnacentral:rRNA from 1 species